AGUGUAGUAUCUGUUCUUAUCAGUUUAAUAUCUGAUAUGUUCUCUAUUUAAUGGC
rnacentral:snRNA from 1 species